AUGACAAAAACAGAACAACCUGAAAAGUCACAUUUAAAUCAUCUUUCAUAUAUAUUUUUACAGAAAAGCACAAAGGGUAAACAGUGGAUGAAAAUGGAUAAAAUGAGGACUGGGCGGAUGGAUUGUCCUGUGCGCCCCUGGUUUGGUCAGGGUCUGAGUCUGCGUUUGCCCUCUUCGUACCUCCUGGAGGGGGCUCGGGGUCCGCAGGUUCUGAUAGGGCCCGUCCAGCUUCAGCUGAUCGGGUCGGGGCGCAGGCCGGGGCGCAGGCCGAGGCGAGCACUCCUUGCUCUUGGGUUGGGUGUUUGCAUAGACGGGGUCUAGUUCCUCUCUGAGGCACGCUCUUCUGAAGAUCACACACAGAACCAUCAGGAUGACCAUGAUGAGAGAGGACACACCCACCAGAAGCCACAGCCACAGUGAGGAGGAUGGGAUGUUUACUGGUGGUACUGUAAAAGGAAAACUCAGCGUUAAAGACCCACUCCAAUAAAAAUGAUGUUUUUGACAUCUUCUUGUGACACUCCUGUCAUGACGGAGGAUAUAUUUAAGGAAAAUUUGCACUUAUAAAAUAGCGUUUCUUAGUAUUUCUUUUAAAAAAAUUGCAGUUUGAAAAACCUUUUAGAUAUCAUGUACAAACUACAAUCGGCAGGCUACAAGCUCCCUGUUCCACUCCAUUCUGAUGCACCUCUUUGUUUUCCUCGCCGUUGUUGUUACACCUGUAAUGUUAGGUUGGGGUUGUGAGGGGCUGUAAGCUAGCAGGAGAGUGUGUUAACAUGUGGAUAGUGUGGGAAUAGGUUUUUCUACGUACCAACAUUUCCCCCCAAUCUCAGAUGUGAAUUUCUAAUGAACUUCUGUCGCUCUGCAGAAACUAUGUUCUUGAAACAACUUUUUUAAAAUUUUGUUAUAAACAGCAUAAUCAUAAUUAGAAGACCACUGGGAACACUUUUAAAAUAGAUCAAAAGAUGAAAUUAGAACCUCUUGGCUCAAUUAGAGAGCAGAAUAAUCUUCUCAAUCACAUCCCAGAGCAGCAACGUGUGAAGAACAUCAGCUGCAUGAAUAAAUUUGUACUUGCAAAGAACGCCUUGUCUCAUCAUUAACAUGUUCUGAUAAGGAUGUGAAUGAUAACGCAGAAACAGCACCUGUGCAUUCAUGGACUAUUCUGUACCACUUACCCCACACCCACACACCACAUUGAGACCAAAACAGCACACACAUACACACACACACACACACACACACACACACACACACACACACACAUACCUUGUGUUUCCGUCCUGCUAGACAAUGUUGCACUUUCCACUGAGGUCGCCUCUGUAACAAUUAAUACAAGAAGCGUUCCUCAGUCUUUGGGGCAAAGGUGGUCCUGACCAGUUUGGCGCCCCAGGCGAAUUCCCCUCCCCCGCCUGAACCUCAAAGCCCACCCCCAAGAACUCACGGCCUGUUUAUAUACUACCACAAGAAUAUCAUAUAUUGUUUAUUUUACUUCAUUAACUGAUAUAGGUGAAUAUAACCCGAACCCCAAUUAAGAAUGAAUACAUUUCUGUCAUUUCCGUUGGCUUCAUGAAUGAACAUCAAUGGAAAGGAAAGAACACAUUCAUGACAACGACAGAAGAGCUCAGAUGAAAUCCACCAAUAGGCUGAUUAACAGGACCAGUCUAGUUUAGUGCAAACCUUCAUUAGCCAAAUAUUGCUCAAAAUGUUACUCCUUGAACAAUAAUUUUGGUUGUAUUUGGCGAGUCUUAAUUUUGGACACCGCCUGUAUUCCUUUAUUCGUGGAGUGCUUUUACUUCCUCUUCGUUCUAAACUGGACGCUGGUGUUUCCUUUGAGCUUUUGUCCGUUUUCCACAACUCGACUAGACUGUCAAACACCCAGAGUCAAGAUAAGUGAGAAGAUGGAAACAAAUCCACUUUGAUGCAGACUCCUAUUUUUUUUCUUGCACUUUCACUCAGACAUUUUGGAAAAAGAAAGUCUCAUUUUGUAUCUACCCAUCUGUGUGAUGACUAUGAAUUAUUUUAUGAUCAUAUUGUUUUUAAAUGUUUUAUUUAUGGAACAUUUAAAGCAAAGACUAAUUUAAUUGUUAAUUUACUCAUAAUUAUGGCUAAAUAUCACAUAAAUAAGUGUUAAUAUCCUGACAAAUCCAAUGUUUUCUGUUUUUCACGACAAGAUGAUAUUGUAUGUAAAAACUUGAAUCCUGCACUUAAAAAAGCUGUUAGAACAGGGGAAGUCUUAUUUGAAACUUUAGAAAAAAAGUUUUUCUGAAAGAAUUGUUGUCUUUUUUCCCUCUUUAUCAACCUUCUGGCAAGUUGAACAAUCUGUUUUUUUGCCUUAAACAAAUUUGCACUAGGUGUGGAGUGUCAUGUACAACAUUCUGUAGGUGGACUGUGUAAUAUGUGCAACGAUCCAGCCCAGCUGUCCAGACAAACUUUGCACCUAUGCAGAUAUCUACGGUCAAACUUUGCACUUGCACAAUAAGGAUUGUACAGUCCUGAUCCGUAAAUGUUUUCUAUUUUUUUCAACAUUACUUUUAAGUAAACUUUUACAUUAUUGUGAACAUUUAAAGAAGCACCUAUUAUUGUUAACAUCUCGAGCUAAAGUAGACGCAUUCAUGCAUGCGGGGCACCGAUCAGGCUGCCGUAAAGCUAUGAUCAAAGCGGGCAUGUGACGCGCCUCAAGGAACUUGCUAAACGCAGGUUAUUUAACCGAUUUUAGCCCCGAAUGUUCACACUGGACAAACAGGAAGGGACUUCCUGUUUUCUUUUCUACCACUUACUAACUCAUGAGAGGCUUGGUGCAAAAUAUCAAAGUGGUGCGAAUCUUGUUCUAUUUUUUUUCUUUCACAGCUCUGUUCUGAUACAUGAAAGACUUGGUGUCAUAUAAUUCCGGUUGGGCACAAACCACAAUGAUUAAUUUCUGCUCAAUGAUCAAUUUUCAAAUGGUUGGCACUUCCAUAGAAAGAAAUUAACACUAUCUAUAUGUCACUACCAAAUCUGAGUCCCUGAUCAAAGUUUGAAAGAUUUAUUCGGCUCAAUAGCCGCAGGUUUUGUAUGUAGAGCCUGAAAAUGGUCUUAAGAACUCACGUAGAUACACGCGAGUCCAGGAGUACUUAAUGCGGAAGCCCAAAACUCGCAUUUACGUACGUUAAUGCGUUCCCAUGUUCAAAACUCAUGUUCACACGUCGCUAUGGAAGUUUUUCAGACCAUUUUCUAGUUUUAUGUACAAAACGCAUGGCUAUUGCACUCGUGUUGCCAACUCAAGUAGGUCAAACUUUGACCAAUCAGGAACUCGGUUUUGGUAGUGACUGUGUGGAACUCACCAAACUCAAAGUGUAGCUUGUGUAUCUUGUGAACCCAGACAUGCUGACGAUCCUGGCAACAUAUGCAUUUGUUUUUCCAAAAAAGGUAAACCAAGCCUCUCACCUGGCAAGGACGCUAACAAUGAACCGAACUGUUUCGUGUCUAUGUCAUGAGAUUUUGCACCAAGCCUUGUUCAAAUGUAGGUGAUGGACAUGCGAUAGUAAACAGAAGAAAAAGAAGAGGAAGCCCCUCCCUGCUUGUGCAGUGUGAGCACAAUAAUAUCUGCGGGUUAAAUUCAUCAAAUGCCCAGUGUGUAUAGCAGAAGAGAUUGCGCCCUCGGCGACCGCCCACAUUGUCCGUAGAUAAAACCGCCUCUGCUUUGGGGUCCAGAAUUUGGGGAGACAAUACAGAUGUUGUGCUUCAGUGCUUCAUACAAACAUACAGAAAAUCUUUGCAGGUGGUGUUCAAAGAAGUCAUUUUCAAAGACUGAUGUGUAUUCUCUAAAGUAAUACUCACCAAUGAAAACUUCCACUUCCAUGCUCUUGAUCUUAGUUAGCUUAGGAAGCUCUACUACAGUUUCACAAGAGUAAAAUCCAUUGUUUGCACUGGUAAGGUUUUGUAUUUCCCAUGUUGUACCGCAGCACUUGUUGGGCUGUGUUUUAUUUUGGCACUUUCCUGUUUGCUCCUCCUUUGGUAGGGUAGUGGAGGAAUUUGAGUUUCCCCGAAUCAUAGUGCUACAGUUCAGGGUAAUGUUGGUAUUUGGAUCCUUGAAAUAAAAAAUCACUCGAUAGCGGUUACCAUCAAUUGGUAUGCCGCACUGGAAUUUUAGAGAGCGAGCAGAAAUAUUCCACCGUUCCCUGGGUGAUCCAUGACCUCCAGACUCACUCAGAAUAAUUUCAUCUGAAUUUCGCACCACGGCUGCUUCUGCCACUGAAGAUUCAAAAAGAGUUCAAGUCAAUCAUUACCAAAACCCAUAAACAAAACAGAUUUUCAAGUGUUAACACAUCAAAACAUAUCAGUUCCUUUUGUCCUUUGGUUAUAUUUUUAGCUAAAAGUCUGCGCUCAUGUCUUACCUGUGAGUAACAGCAGAACUGCCUGUUUCAGCCACACUGCCAUUCUAUCAAGUGACAAGUGGUCGUGCUCUGAGUUUCAUCCUCUCUCAGCUGAAGGGUGAAAGCGCAUCAGACAGAGCUCGACACAAACCUGCGUGUGUGGGUGGGAAGGAGGGCUGAAUUUCUCUUAAAAGCAGAGUGACAAGAAGUUGGGGGUGGUG
ensembl:lncRNA